GAGAUUGGGCCUGCUCGGUGAUUUAUAUUUAACAGCUGCGGUAUUAUAACUGUACUAAGGUAGCAUAAUAAUUUGCUCUAUAAAUUAGGGCUAGAAUGAAUGGUUGACGAGAAUUAAACUGUCUCUAUUUUAUUUUUUAGAAUUAUUUUUAUAGUGAAAAGCUUAGAUGAUUUAAAGGGACAAAAGACCCUAUUGAGCUUUAUUUUAUAGGAAUAUAUAUAUAUAUAUAUAUAUAUAUAUAUAUAAUUUGUUAGUUUUAAAUUUGGUUGGGGUGAUCAAGGAAUAAAGAUUAAAAUGAAAAUAACUUCCUUAGUAAUAAUAUUAGUGGGUUAAUAAACCAAGUUUUUUGCUUAUAAGGUAAGUUACCAUAGGGAUAACAGCGUAAUUUUUUUUGAGAGUUCAUAUUGAAAAAAAAGAUUGCGACCUCGAUGUUGGAUUAAAGUUAACCUUAAGGUGUAGAGGCUUUAAUAGGUAAA
rnacentral:rRNA from 1 species